rnacentral:lncRNA from 1 species
AGUAGACAAGAUUCAAGAAUUCGACACUCACCUUAGCAUCUUCUGUUCUCUUUGUAGUCCCAACUACAAUGGAAUCACGCAAACAUCAACCGAAUAGAUUUGUAAAAAAAUGAAGUUAACAGGAUACAAGCCUGCAAAUACUAUCUNGGUAGAGUGAUACCACGUACGUAAUAUCCAAACUCCCGCGGAUGCAUCCCAACUCAACCUGUGUAUGAUCAAUGAUUAACCAACAAACAUUAUGGAGUAUUAUACAUAGACAUACAAUACAAGGCGUUUGGGAUGCGUACCUGUAGAGCGUCAAUGGAGUCAGAAUCAACAUCCUUUACAGUCCAGUGUGAAGUAGCACUAGUGUUUGGAUUUGGCUGGGAGGAGAGAUUGUCGACCACCAAAGCGAUUCCGCCACGGGAGGAGGAGGAAGAAGGGGAAGGCGGAAGAGUGUGAAGGACCUCCUCGUAGCCAUCGUCCUUCCAGUAGACCUUGGGCUUGUAGGAAGUAAUGUGGCCAUUUGGAAUGUCGAGCUUCACGGAGCUUCCAUUUCUGACGCUCAGCUCAACCGUCGCCGAAUCUGAAAACUUUAUGCCUUUGCGUCCGAAUUUCUGGUCAAGACUCUCUGUCGCAGUUGCAGUUGCAGUUGAAGGCGCAGCACAAGCUUUAGCAGAUUUAAGGGGGGAGAAGGAUAGAAGCGAAGCCAUUCUCACUCACUCAACUCUCACAGAUUAAGCUAAGCAAGAGGAUCUCUCUCCACCAGCAAAUAUUUACCUCGUCCCAUCCCCUCUAUUUUUUGGAUAGACCCACCUCCGCCUCUUCCUGCACUUACUUACUAACUAACUAUUGUUUUUGUUUUUAUACUACCCCAAAUAUUACGCGUUUCAUCACAUAAUAUCUUAUUCUCUUCAAAACAACAAUUACGUUUAUUAUUUAUCUUCCAAAAAUGGGAUGACUCAUAUUUGUGAUACCAUGAUUAGUAUUAUUAUUAUUAUUAUUAUUUUUUAAAAUUGAAAAUAAAAUUUAUUAAUAUUAUUAAUUAUACUUAAUUUUAUUUAAAAAAAUUAUAUACCAUGAUUUCGAAUUUAACAACCUUGUAUAGUUGUAUUAACUAAUAAAAUUAAUAAUUAUAUAUCAUAAUUGGAUGAGAUAAACCCUAGUUAGUAAUUACAAUAAUAAAAUUGCAAAUGGUAGUGGAAUAUCAAAUGUAGUACAUUGGACCUAAAAUGCAAAAGUAUUAGUAGUAUACAAAUAAUUGAUCUUUUACUCGACUAAACUGCCAUUCAUCGCGGCAUAAGUAACUAAGUUGUGUAUAAAUCUAAAAUUGAAAGAAUAUUUUAGGAAAUCCUAGUAACCACCAUCUUCAAGAUAGAAAAGUUGUGCAAUUGUGGUGUUCAUGAUUCCAAGAAAAGCUCCUGUUAUUUUUACGGUUCUCCUGCCAUCUUCAGUCAUUUGAACAUAUGCAUCACUAUUUAUAGCAUUGCCAGAUAUCAAGAAUUUAAACAUGUGACCGGUUGGCCAGUACUGCGAAACCCAAGUUUCAAGUAAAUAAUAAAAACCAAGUCUUGAAAAAAGAAUCUUAACUUCCCUUUCCUCUUACUCAAACUCAACAUGUAAACUUAAAGCAUCCAUCCCACUUCCUUCCCUUGAGGCUGAGCGGAAUGCACAAACACAACCUAUUAGUCAUAUUAAGCAUUUUAAUUUCAAUAUAGCACCAAGAAUUCCAGUUAUACAAGAAAAAAAUAUUUGUCAACCAAACCACCAUCCUGUAGGUACGAACUAAAAGGUUAUAGCAUAAAUAUUACAAGAGGAACAUAACAAAAGAAAUUACUAAUAAGAUCACAUCACACCUCACUGGGUAUUUCAAAGAAUACGAGCAUUCAACUUCUGGAUUUGACUUGUAAUGCUCAUGAAGCCAUGCAUACCACUCUCUCUGGAGGAGUAUGUAUCCUUAUUUUGUGGCGUGAGCCCCUUACUCCACCGCCUCUCAGCUCGAUCACUGCCACUUCUUUCCAGACUGCCAUCCACAGUUUCCUCAUAAUUUUCUCUCAUGGCUCACUUAUUGUCAUCAGUGCAAACAAAAACACAAGGUGAUGCAGGUAGAAGCGUGAAAUAUAUUUGAUAUUGAUAAUUAUACGAACUCCGUUGAUAACCAUUGUAUGCCGGAAUACGUACAAUAAGGGUUAAUCCGUUGAUUCACUCAUGAAUACCGGAAGAACACAAUGAGAAGGGAACAAUCCCACCCUCUGUUAGAACCGGGUACACGAUCGAGAUAUUACAAUAUAAAUAUUUUGAGAAAUUACAACUCAAAAUAAUUGAAAUAUUACAAAGUAAAUAAUUUGAGAAAUUACAACCCAAAUAAUUUGAUACAACUGAAAUACACUGUAUAAAUAAAUUAUACGUAUAAACAAAGUCGAGUCGAGAUGAAUCUCUUCCCGCAAGAAGAUUAUCGCCCCGGUAGUGCUCUUCGGUUUGGCGUAUCUUCCCCAAAGGUAAAACGACUACGUCUCGGCGGAUGUAGCACCACAAUCCGGCGAGCUCCGGCGAACUAAAUAGGAUCAAGAACUGAGCACAAGUUUUUGCAGAGAGUGUUGUAUGUAAAUGGCAGAAUGCAGGAUUUUGUAGUGUAUUUCUGCAUGCUCUCCAUAGGCCUAUUUAUAGGCAUGUGGUGAGUAUGAAUUCAAUUCAUUGAAUUCAACUCCGGUGGCUGGAAGCUGUAAACGUUGAAGAGGUGGCCGGUGGGCGCAGCUAAUGAAGAAAACUUAGCUGCAAAAUUGAAUACGCAUGCAGAAGUCGUAACAGGCGUGCUUCUGAAACUGCUGCUGCUGUCAACUGCUGCUGUGACUGUUGCUGUGGGCUUGGGAAUUAAUUCAGUUGGGCCAAGAAAAUAAUUCUGUUGGGCCAAAAAUUAAAAGCCCAAUGGAGUUGGUCCAAAAAAUAGUUUUGGGCCCCAAACACCACCCCAAAGCACCAAUUGCCAAGAUCCAAGUCCUUGGCCGCGGCCCGUACCCGACCCGCCCGUCCGGCGGCGGCGGCGACGACGUCGUCGUCCGUCCGAUCGAUCGUCGGCGGCGGCGCGCGUGUGUGUGUGCGCGCGAGGCUAGUACUUAGAUCAAGCCCACUAGCAAGCCCACGAGUCAAUUUAUCAACUCCAUGUGCUUUGCUAUUCUUAUACAUGAAAAACAUCUCUAUGUUUUCCAAUGUGGGAUAACAUAACAAAUGUUAUUUUCCCUCUUCAACAUCCAAACUUUGACAUACAAUAUCUCACUCAUCGGAAAUCGGUUUUGAGACUUCAAGUAUAUCACGUUGAUCUACUCGAGAUGUAGAUUAACAUCCAAUCAUUAUUUUAAUUAAAUAAUAAAUAUUUAAUUAAAUAAUAAUUUUCAGAUAUGGCUUAAAACCAUAUUUCCAACAAUCCCCCACAUGAGUGAGAAAUCAGUAUGUGAAAGUGUGCAAACACUUAGCUCAGUCCUCUUAAGAUACAACAUUGCAUUUGGAAAGGUAGCUUGUGGCUUUGAACCUGCCAUAGUCAAUAUUAUCGAGUAUNCACCUUAGCAUCUUCCGUUCUCUUUGUAGUCUCAACUACAAUGGAAUCACGCAAACAUCAACCGAAUAGAUUUGUAAAAUAUUGAAGUUAACAGGAUACAAGCCUGCAAAUACUAUCUAGCCACUCAACAUAAAUAUUAAAAGGGAGAUUUGGAUGGUACAUUCAUUCUCUCGCCCAAAUUGUUUGCUAAUUAUAUCCUCUUAUCUCACAUUUACCGUUUCUGAAACUAAAUUCUUCCAAAAUCUCAAUUGUCUGACUGAAGGAAAUAGUGACAAUUUCAAUAUACUAAUGUAUAGCGGUGUUAAAGUUUGUGGAAAAACGAAAAUUCUGUAAAUCCUAAAACCGGAUCGAGCAGGACAGAAAGGGGAAAGAGAGAAACCGUUUUAGGGCGGAGGGAGGUAGGAAGCCUCUUUCAAUUUCAACAGAGAAAGCCCUAGAAGGCGGACUCGGAUCUUCUUUACCCAAUUCUUCAUUUCGAAUGUGGUCUGCAAUAUUUUUUACUCCUAAAAUGAUUUCUUGUGAAUUUUCACUAACUUCAACGGAUCAAUUUAAGGUUGGGUGUCGUCACUCGUUAUUCCACAA